GAUGAACGCUAGCUACAGGCUUAACACAUGCAAGUCGAGGGGCAGCAUGAACUUAGCUUGCUAAGUUUGAUGGCGACCGGCGCACGGGUGAGUAACACGUAUCCAACCUGCCGAUGACUCGGGGAUAGCCUUUCGAAAGAAAGAUUAAUACCCGAUGGCAUAGUUCUUCCGCAUGGUAGAACUAUUAAAGAAUUUCGGUCAUCGAUGGGGAUGCGUUCCAUUAGGUUGUUGGCGGGGUAACGGCCCACCAAGCCUUCGAUGGAUAGGGGUUCUGAGAGGAAGGUCCCCCACAUUGGAACUGAGACACGGUCCAAACUCCUACGGGAGGCAGCAGUGAGGAAUAUUGGUCAAUGGACGAGAGUCUGAACCAGCCAAGUAGCGCGAAGGAUGACUGCCCUAUGGGUUGUAAACUUCUUUUAUACGGGAAUAAAGUGAGGCACGUGUGCCUUUUUGUAUGUACCGUAUGAAUAAGGAUCGGCUAACUCCGUGCCAGCAGCCGCGGUAAUACGGAGGAUCCGAGCGUUAUCCGGAUUUAUUGGGUUUAAAGGGAGCGUAGGCGGACGCUUAAGUCAGUUGUGAAAGUUUGCGGCUCAACCGUAAAAUUGCAGUUGAUACUGGGUGUCUUGAGUACAGUAGAGGCAGGCGGAAUUCGUGGUGUAGCGGUGAAAUGCUUAGAUAUCACGAAGAACUCCGAUUGCGAAGGCAGCUUGCUGGACUGUAACUGACGCUGAUGCUCGAAAGUGUGGGUAUCAAACAGGAUUAGAUACCCUGGUAGUCCACACAGUAAACGAU
rnacentral:rRNA from 1 species